rnacentral:rRNA from 1 species
AUUGAACGCUGGCGGCAGGCCUAACACAUGCAAGUCGCACGAGUGGAGGACGGGUGAGUAAUGUCUGGGAAACUGCCCGAUGGAGGGGGAUAACUAAUGGAACCGGUAGCUAAUACCGCAUACCAUCGGAUGUGCCCCGAUGGGAUUAGCUAGUAGGGUGGGUAAAGGCUCACCUAGGCGACGAUCACUAGCUGGUCUGAGAGGAGUACAAGCCAAGCUGGAACUGAGACACGGUCCAGACUCCUACGGGAGGCAGCAGGGGGGAAUAUUGCACAAUGGGCGCAAGCCUGAUGCAGCCAUGCCGCGUGUAUGAAGAAGGCCGUCGGGUUGUAAAGUACUUGCAGCGAGGAGGCGUUACUCUCAGAAGAAGCACCGGCUAACUCCGUGCCAGCAGCCGCGGUAAUAC